rnacentral:misc_RNA from 1 species
UUUCCGUAGGUGAACCUGCGGAAGGAUCAUUCAUAAUAAAAAGUUUUAUGGCGCUUUUUAAAAAUCCAUAUCCACCUUGUGUGCAAUGUUAGAUCUCGUCAAUCUUGGCGAGAUUUUUAUACAUCAACUCAUUCUUUAACUAAUUUGUCUGAAAAAUAUUAUGAACACUUAAUUCAAAAUACAACUUUCAACAACGGAUCUCUUGGCUCUC